GUGCUCACUUCGACAGCACAUCUGCUAGAACUGGAAUGUUACAGAGAAGAUUAGCGUGGCCCCUGUGCAAGGAUGACAUGUGAAUUCCUGAAGAAUUACAUAUUUUU